rnacentral:rRNA from 1 species
GUGGAGAAUCUUGCACAAUGGGCGCAAGCCUGAUGCAGCCAUGCCGCGUGCGGGAAGAAGGCCUUCGGGUCGUAAACCGCUUUCAGCAGGGACGAAGCGAGAGUGACGGUACCUGCAGAAGAAGGACCGGCCAACUACGUGCCAGCAGCCGCGGUAAUACGUAGGGUCCGAGCGUUGUCCGGAAUCAUUGGGCGUAAAGCGCAUGUAGGCGGCCCUUUAAGUCGGAUGUGAAAUCCCAGGGCUCAACCCUGGAACUGCAUCCGAUACUGGAGGGCUUGAGGAAGGUAGAGGAGAGUGGAAUUCCCGGUGUAGCGGUGGAAUGCGCAGAUAUCGGGAGGAACACCAGCGGCGAAGGCGGCUCUCUGGGCCUCUCCUGACGCUGAGAUGCGAAAGCGUGGGUAGCGAACAGGAUUAGAAACCCCGGUAGUCC